GACGAACGCUGGCGGCGUGCUUAACACAUGCAAGUCGAACGGAAAGGCCCUGCUUUUGUGGGGUGCUCGAGUGGCGAACGGGUGAGUAACACGUGAGUAACCUGCCCUUGACUUUGGGAUAACUUCAGGAAACUGGGGCUAAUACCGGAUAGGAGCUCCUGCUGCAUGGUGGGGGUUGGAAAGUUUCGGCGGUUGGGGAUGGACUCGCGGCUUAUCAGCUUGUUGGUGGGGUAGUGGCUUACCAAGGCUUUGACGGGUAGCCGGCCUGAGAGGGUGACCGGCCACAUUGGGACUGGGCUACGGCCCAGACUCCUACGGGACGCAGCAGUGGGGAAUAUUGCACAAUGGGCUGAAGCCUGAUGCAGCAACGCCGCGUGCGGGAUGACGGCCUUCGGGUUGUAAACCGCUUUCGCCUGUGACGAAGCGUGAGUGACGGUAAUGGGUAAAGAAGCACCGGCUAACUACGUG
rnacentral:rRNA from 1 species